AAAAAACUGCGAUGCAGGUAACAAAUCCGAGUGCAGCAAAUGAUGAAGGUAUUACAGCUUUGCACAAUGCAAUAUGCGCGGGACAUUUUGAAAUAGUAAAAUUUUUGGUAAAUUUUGGAUGCGACGUAAAUGCACAGGAUUCCGAUGGGUGGACCCUUUGCA